UGGGGAAUUUUGGACAAUGGGCGAAAGCCUGAUCCAGCAAUGCCGCGUGUGUGAAGAAGGCCUUCGGGUUGUAAAGCACUUUUGUCCGGAAAGAAAUCCUUGGCUCUAAUACAGUCGGGGGAUGACGGUACCGGAAGAAUAAGCACCGGCUAACUACGUGCCAGCAGCCGCGGUAAUACGUAGGGUGCAAGCGUUAAUCGGAAUUACUGGGCGUAAAGCGUGCGCAGGCGGUUUGCUAAGACCGAUGUGAAAUCCCCGGGCUCAACCUGGGAACUGCAUUGGUGACUGGCAGGCUAGAGUAUGGCAGAGGGGGGUAGAAUUCCACGUGUAGCAGUGAAAUGCGUAGAGAUGUGGAGGAAUACCGAUGGCGAAGGCAGCCCCCUGGGCCAAUACUGACGCUCAUGCACGAAAGCGUGGGGAGCAAACAGGAUUAGAUACCCUGGUAGUCCACGCCCUAAACGAUGUCAACUAGUUGUUGGGGAUUCAUUUCCUUAGUAACGUAGCUAACGCGUGAAGUUGACCGCCUGGGGAGUACGGUCGCGAGAUUAAAACUCAAAGGAAUUGACGGGGU
rnacentral:rRNA from 1 species